UACGGGGGGAGCAAGCGUUGUUCGGAUUUACUGGGCGUAAAGGGCGCGUAGGCGGCCACCGCAAGUCGACUGUGAAAUCUCCGGGCUUAACCCGGAAAGGUCAGCCGAUACUGCGGGCUAGAGUGCAGAAGGGGCAACUGGAAUUCUCGGUGUAGCGGUGAAAUGCGUAGAUAUCGAGAGGAACACCUGCGGCGAAGGCGGGUUGCUGGGCUGACACUGACGCUGACAGCGCGAAAGCUAGGGGGAGCGAACGGG
rnacentral:rRNA from 1 species